rnacentral:lncRNA from 1 species
ACUUGUGACCAAAGUGAACCACGGAGGUGUGGUCCAGGGGAAUCUCUAUCUUCUGCCCAUGGGCCUCCUCACUUCAGCAGGGAGAUGUCAUCAGCAAAGUCAUCAUGCUGCUGGCGCAGGCAGCGGAGGCAGCGCCACUGACACACCAUGAGGCAGAGUGGCAGCAUGAAGAGGGCGCAGAUGGCAGCCAUGACAUAGGCUAUGGUCAUGAGGGUUGACUCAUCUGUCUGUGGAAUGUUGUAGCCACAGUCUUCCAUGUCCAAGGUGACAAAAGGGCCUUCCACCGCUGCCGUCCUGAACUCAUCGUGCACUGGGGAGAGGGCAAAUGUGAAUGGACAGCUCUCAUUGUCAUAGAGGAGUUAACAAAAAGAACUUCCUGAUAGUGAGGCCUUGAAAUUAGCCCAUGCAGAAGUUAUCUAAUCUCCUUCCCAGGAGAUAUUUAGGAGCAGGCUGGGAAGCCAGCACCAGGUAGAGGCCUGUCUCCCUUCCCAAGUCACUGGGAGCAGCAGCCCUUCCUUGUAUACCCAGCUGGUAGGAGUGAUAACUAAAAGUCAGUAGUUCUGAGUUGACCAAAAGCCACCCCCUUGACCAAAAGCCAAAUCUAGUAAACUUAACUUUCUGCUGCUGAAAUCCAACUGCAAAACCCUGCCACCUUUCUGAAGUAGCAUUCAGCCUCACCAUGUGGCAGCUGACAGGGUCACUAUAGACUCAGUCUGCUACCCUUGCAUCAAGAGCUUCCCAAGGUACCCAGGUAACUCUUGCUGCUCUGGGUUUCCAACAGAGGUUACCAAUCCAGGCAGUGGUCAUUAUGGCAGGCAGUACAAAAAAAGGACGAGCAUUGACACUAGCUUUUGCACAACUGUUGACUUGGGUUUGAGGCAACUGUUACUACCCUCCCCUAAACUGACAGGGACCCAGGUAUACUAACUGUUGUUUGACAAGGAAAAUAUGGAGAGACUGACCCCAAACCCUCAGCCCUGGCACUCUCACCAUGGCAAGCGCUGACAGCAAAGCCAAUUCGUUUUCGGGCCCGAUCAAAGACAACGUAGAAGCCCUCCAUGAUAACAGCUCCCAUAACAGUGCCCGUGGAUGACUGUGAGAUGGCAAACUUGUAACAGUCGUCUUGGGACGUGGCCACAUCUUCCACUGGCCGCAGGUAUUGCUAGGGGUAAGCAAUCACAGGGUGAGUGUCUUCCUCACUCUCCUUCACCCCAUCUCUGCCUUGUAGGCAUCUAUGCCCUUCCCUUUACCAUCCCUGAGCUCUAACGGGUUUUCUGAGACCCCUUUACUGCUGGACACUACUCAUCUGUUUUGUCUUCCAAGUUCUGGCAAGCCAUACCUGCUCACUGUCUCCCAGUGUGUACUUUUAAGAGAGAUCCCCCUGACUCAGGCUGGGACAUACCUGCGGAAGGAUGGUGAUGCGGAAGGACUGGUUGGUAACCUCACCCAUUAGGUAGAGUGAGAUGACUGGGAAAAUGUUCCAAGGGGUGGUGCCUGCUUGCCAGCACACCAGCUGCUCUCCUAGCCAGAAACCAUCAGGGAACUUCUCCGUCUGUGUUGGCAAGAAGGGGAUAACAAUGAGGAAAAGCCUCUUUAUCAUCUCGCCCCUCCCAUGUUCAGAUACAUUAACUGGGCCCUUCAUUUGCUUUUCCAGUGAAAUAUCUAAAGUGGGGAGGGGUAAACCAACCAGAGGAUUACAGGAAGAGAGAGGGAGUGUGAUGUCAAACUUUUGUACCGGGGGAUUGUGUGAUGAGCAAAGUGACAGCCAUAAAGGGGAAGAGUUUUUUUUUUUUUUUUGAAACAGUGUCUCACUCUGUUGCCCAGGCUGGAGUGCAGUGGCGCAAUCAUGGCUCACCGCAACCUCCACCGUCCUGAGUUAAAGUGAUUCUCCUGUCUCAGCCCCCUGAGUAGCUAGGAUUACAGGCGUGCGCCACCACACCCAGCUAAUUUUUGUACUUUUAGUAGAGAUGGGAUUUCACCCUGUUGGUCAGGCUGGUCUUGAACUCCUGACCUAGUGAUCUGCCCACCUUGGCCUCCCAAAGUGCUGGGAUUACAGGCGUGAGCCACCACGCCUGGCUAGGGGAAGAGUGUUUUAAGAGCUCUGAGUAGAAGGGUCUAAGUGCAGACAUCUUGGCUGUUGCUGAAGAAUGUGACUCUCACCGCCUCCCUCUGACACUGUACCAUCUCUUUUACCCCCAUCCUUAGUCCACUCACGGAGGAGGCUGCCUUGAUGGAUUUGACUGCAGCUUCAAACACUUUCUUGGGCAAACGAAGGUCCUGUCCAUUGAUCUCCACCCGCACAAUGAUCACCUCAUAAUACCACUCCCGCCGGAUGGGUGUAUACCAGAGACUGCCUGUGUACAGCGAGUGGUCGAUACCUCCAAUGAUCUAGGGAAAAAAAGAGGCAGGUACCCGUGUCCUGGCACAGAAGGAGAGUGAGUCCCCCAAGGACCAAGCAAUAAGAUCAGUGAUUUCUUGGGGUGGCAAGGUCUUCUACAGGCUACCCUUUUCAUCUUCCUGCUUCUAAACAAAUCAUACCCAAAGUGAUUUCUAGUUUCUUAAAUGUGUUCAGGAGAAAAGACUUUCCGGGAUUUUUAAUUAUUUGUUUCAGAAUCAUACAGCCCUUGAUAUAAAGUUAUUUAAAUC